rnacentral:rRNA from 1 species
GGCUCAGGACGAACGCGGGGGGCGUGCCUAAUGCAUGCAAGUCGAACGCACUCGACCUUCGGGUCAUAUGGGUGAGUGGCGAACGGGUGAGUAACACGUGAGGAACCCACCUCGGAGUUCGGAAUAACUCAGGGAAACUUGAGCUAAUACCGAAUACCUUCUCAACACCGAAUGGUGAGGAGAAGAAAGAUUCAUCGCUCCGGGACGGCCUCGCGGCCUAUCAGCUUGUUGGUGAGGUAACGGCUCACCAAGGCAGUGACGGGUAGCUAGUCUGAGAGGACGAAUAGCCACACUGGGACUGAGACACGGCCCAGACUCCUACGGGAGGCAGCAGCAGGGAAUCUUGCACAAUGGGCGAAAGCCUGAUGCAGCGACGCCGCGUGGGGGAUGAAGGCCCUAGGGUCGUAAACCCCUUUCAGCAGGGACGAAGAUGACGGUACCUGCAGAAGAAGCCCCGGCCAACUACGUGCCAGCAGCCGCGGUAAGACGUAGGGGGCGAGCGUUGUCCGGAUUUAUUGGGCGUAAAGAGCUCGUAGGCGGUUGCGUAAGUCGGAUGUGAAAACUCAGGGCUCAACCCUGAGACGCCAUCCGAUACUGCGCUGACUUGAAUCCAGUAGGGGAGUGUGGAAUUCCUGGUGUAGCGGUGAAAUGCGCAGAUAUCAGGAGGAACACCCAUGGCGAAGGCAGCACUCUGGGCUGGUAUUGACGCUGAGGAGCGAAAGCAUGGGUAGCGAACAGGAUUAGAUACCCUGGUAGUCCAUGCCGUAAACGGUGGGCACUAGGUGUGGGGACUUUCAACGGUUUCCGUGCCGAAGCUAACGCAUUAAGUGCCCGCCCUGGGGAGUACGGUCCCAAGGCUAAAACU